UACGUAGGGUGCAAGCGUUAAUCGGAAUUACUGGGCGUAAAGCGUGCGCAGGCGGUUUUGUAAGUCUGUCGUGAAAGCCCCGGGCUCAACCUGGGAAUUGCGAUGGAGACUGCAAGGCUUGAAUCUGGCAGAGGGGGGUAGAAUUCCACGUGUAGCAGUGAAAUGCGUAGAGAUGUGGAGGAACACCGAUGGCGAAGGCAGCCCCCUGGGUCAAGAUUGACGCUCAUGCACGAAAGCGUGGGAAGCAAACAGG
rnacentral:rRNA from 1 species